rnacentral:rRNA from 1 species
GAUGAACGCUGGCGGCGUGCCUAAUACAUGCAAGUCGAGCGAACAGACGAGGAGCUUGCUCCUCUGACGUUAGCGGCGGACGGGUGAGUAACACGUGGAUAACCUACCUAUAAGACUGGGAUAACGUCGGGAAACCGGAGCUAAUACCGGAUAAUAUAUUGAACCGCAUGGUUCAAUAGUGAAAGACGGUUUUGCUGUCACUUAUAGAUGGAUCCGCGCCGCAUUAGCUAGUUGGUAAGGUAACGGCUUACUAAGGCAACGAUGCGUAGCCGACCUGAGAGGGUGAUCGGCCACACUGGAACUGAGACACGGUCCAGACUCAUACGGGAGGCAGCAGUAGGGAAUCUUCCGCAAUGGGCGAAAGCUUGACGGAGCAACGCCGCGUGAGUGAUGAAGGUCUUCGGAUCGUAAAACUCUGUUAUUAGGGAAGAACAAAUGUGUAAGUAACUAUGCACGUCUUGACGGUACCUAAUCAGAAAGCCACGGCUAACUACGUG